CUUGUGCAUGAUUACGUGUUCGUUGAGAGUGCGAAUAUGGCACGAAGAGAGUAACGAACACGUAGCUCUCAUUACAAAGAGCUGGGAGCUUUUAUUACAGCUCAUAAUGUUCACAACAUCUGCGUGAACAUACGAAUACUUUUCGGAAGAAAGAAACCGCAGCUGAAGCUCACCCAGCCAGUUCAGUUGAAACCUUUUAGGACAGGUUAAAAACGACCAUGAUAAGAUUAGCGGUCUUUCUUCUCAGCCUAACUGGAUUCCUAGUACCAGCGAGGGGCCGCUCACCGUACGGACCACUACCCGCUCGGCCGUCCAGACAAAGCGGGAUGCCUCCAAGACAGGCGGGAGAACUGCCAUCUCCUUCGGCACUCACACCGUUUGUGUCGCAACUUCCAUGCGAUUUGGCCGAUCCGGAAAGAUCAAACGUGUAUUGCGACGCCGCCUGUCGUGUUCACUACUUCCGCAAAGGCGUCUGCAGCGCAAGCGAGAGAACAUGCGUUUGUUUCGAAUAAAGUAACACAUUCUGCAACGGGA